GCUUAGAAACAGAUCACUAUUCAGACGAAAAGUCAAAAUGGCAGAAGCAGAAAGUUCGGAUAUGGAGGGUGGCUGUAAACACUACAAAAGAAGAACAAAAUUUGUGACGCCAUGCUGCCAGAAAGUGUACACUUGCCGAUUCUGCCAUGAUGAGAAUGAGAGCCACCCAUUGAACCGGAAAGAUGUGACAGAACUCGUUUGUGGCAACUGCUGUACUCGGCAGAAAGUUCAGGCAGAAUGUGAGAAAUGUUCAUUACGCUUUGGAAAGUACACGUGUCUGGAGUGUAAGCUGUUUGACGAUGAAGACAAGAACCAGUACCACUGCGAGGGCUGCGGCAUCUGUAGAAUCGGAGGCAGAGACAAGUUCUUCCACUGUGCUAAAUGCAACAUGUGUCUACCGAUCAAACUUCAGAAUGGACAUAGGUGUGUGGAGAACGUGUCCCGGUCGAAUUGUCCGGUCUGUCUGGAGGACAUCCAUACGUCCCGGAUACCUUGCCACAUCCCGGACUGUGGACAUCUGCUGCAUCGGACCUGUUUUGAGGACUUGCUGCAGAGCGGACUAUACACGUGUCCCACCUGCCAGACUUCGCUAGUGGACAUGACGCCGGUGUGGGAACACUAUGACCAGGAGAUCCAGAUGACUCCGAUGCCUCCGGAGUUCAAGGAUUACUUGGCUGAGAUUCUUUGCAAAGACUGCCAAAGGUACUCAACAAUACCCUACCAUGUAGUGGGCCUCAAGUGCUUGAGUUGUGGGUCUUACAACACAACACGUACAAAAACUCUACGUCCUGCCAAUCUACAAGGUGCUAGCAGUAGCAAUGAUGAAGAGACUCCGGGCACCGAGGACGAUUGAAUCAGCUGAUGAAACCUGGAUUCUGUGCCAACUAUAUCGUGGCAACGUUGAAGAUUUGUUCUAAAACCAUCGAUUCGUCUGCUACUGUACCAUUCAUCAUUCCACUUGAUCACAAAUGGAUUAUUCAGUUAUUAUUUUAAACACAUCCUCAGAAAUCAUGGUUGAAAGUGUGCUACCAAUGAAAAUUCUUUACUCUAAACCAAGAACACUUCUAUCACCUUUGUAAGCGUUACUUCAAAUUAAAACUUUUAUUUUAUAACAAAACAAAAAAAUACAUCUUUGUAGAAUUUUAUUUUUAAUGUCCAACACACAGUAAAAUCAUUAUAAUCUGGCACUGCGCCAGUUCGGCACUCCUGUAAUCUGGCGUAUUUUGGCGGGCGAAGAAUGGGUUAUUCAAAUUAAGACAAGUUACUAAAAACCGGGUUAAAAAACAACCUAAGAUCGCUUCGUUGUCUUGUGGUUUAGCCGCUGUUCAUAUAAACAUUGCCAAUGUUAUUUAUUUGUGUUAUUGUUACUUUACUUAGUGUUGUAUUUUGUGUUUAAUUUAUAUUUCAAGACAGUAAGUGAAGAACAAUAAUCAGUGUGAACAAAAACAUAAAACCUUAACUCGACUUCAGAAGUACGAGAGUUUAAAGAGACUGAAUAAGGGUGAUAAGCUUGCUAACCUUGCAAAUGAAUAUGGUGUCGGUCACACCACGAUACAUGACAUACAGAAGAACAGUGAAAAGAUUAAGUUUGGUCCAAAAGCAGUGACAAUGUGAAAAGUUUAAGUGUGGUGGACGAAAUUAGAACAUAAAGCAGGUGCCAAGAGGCUACAGUCUUCAAAGGCUAGCUUGCCUGAGCAUGAGCGAUGAUCUUCUGUCCAACCUUAGCACUUGAAGUGGUCCUGGGAUACACUCCUCUGGGGCAGGAGGUGAUGAGGACAGCCACUCUAAGUGCAAUGAAGCUUCUAGGAACAAAGGUAAUAGAGACAACCUCUUCAGAAGGUCACAUGAAAAUAAUCCAGGAAUUUUCUCAUGCUAACCAACGUGUCAGAAACAAUGGUUAAGAAAUACUUCUUUGAAAAACCAUAUACAGUCUAUAUUGCAGGAAGGGAAAAAUGGAUUGAAAAGGAGGUCUACCCUACAAAAGGAGUCAAGAAGUUUUACACAGAUGGUUCACGCCUUGACUCUAGGUUGAGAUUCGGAAUUUACGGACCAGGAGUUAUCCUAGCAGUGCCCCUUGGAAAACACGCCACGGUCUUCAAGCGGAAGUCAUGGCAAUAGAAAAAUGCGCCAGAGGACUCAUAUAAAUGAGGCAAAAAGGAGCAAAAUAUUAAAUACUUUCUGGCAGCCAGGCUGCACUAAAGGCACUUGAUACCUGUUCGUUUGAUUCGAAAGCAGUCUGGGAAUGCAAGAAUGCCCUGGUAGAACUGGCUAAGAAAAAUAAAGUAAGUAAAUAGUGUAGAGUGAAAAAGCAGACAUCCUCGCCAAAAAGGGAGUGGAGUCCUUUAUGGUAGGACCAGAGCCGGAUUGCGGGAUAGCUUUCUCCUACAGCAAAGCUCUUGUAAUAGAUGGGAAAAGAGGACAAGAUACUUUAAUUGGAGUAGGGCCUGAAGAUUAACACGAUCAAAAAUAUUUAUCUCUCCUUAUGCUAAAGGGUGGGCAGCUCACCUAGAUCAGAGUAAGGAGGAUAUAAGACUGAUAUUAGGGAUGCUGACAGGACAUGGUCCCUUUAGAAAACACCUCAUGAGGGUAGGCCUUAGCCAGACUGAUGAAUGCAGACUCUGUGGAGAAGAGGAGGAAUCAGCGGAGCAUAUUUGGCUAAACUGUCCUGCCAUAUCUAAAAUUUGUAAAAGAUUCCUAGGGGCAUAUCUCCUCAGCCCCAAAGACAUCAGAGAACAGGAGCCCUCAAAUCUAAUCCGCUUCUGUAAAAGUCUCAGAUUCUGAGGAUACAAAUAUAGACAAUCGUCUCUUUCCCUCAGGAAAAAAAUUGAAAAGUGCCAGAAAACAUUGAAAGUGGCAGGAUUUCCUCAGGUUGAGGAUAGUCUGUCUAUAAGGUGUUCCGUUUCAAGAACAGAACAGGUGAAGUAUACAUCAAUUUUAAGGGAGAUUCCUAAAGAAAAGGCAAAAGUAUUCUAUGAAGAAAUGGAGAAAAACAAUUUGAAAGCAAGUGAAGGAUGGUUAGAAUAAUUCAAAAAGCGUUUUGAAAUUCGGAUGUUAAGUACGGCGGGUGAAAAACUAUCAUGUGAUGUUACUGCAGUCUAACCAUUCAAGGAAAAGUCUAUAACGCAGAUGAGAGUGGUUUAUUUUACCGGCAUGUACCCAAGAAGACAUUCGUUCACUGUGCUGAAACAAGUGCUCCGGUACGAAAACUGGCCAAAGAUAGAAUAACAUUUAUGCUCUGUUCGAACGCAAGUGGUACACAUAAAUUGAAGUUAUUGGUGAUAGGGACGUCAAAAACCCCAGGGUAUUUUAAAAUACCAACCUUUCAGUUGAUUUAAAAAAUGCACGCAAAGGGUAAAUAACUCAGUCACUGUUCAAGGAAUGGUUUCAUAAAAUCUCUAUAAUUUUCGCUAAAAAAACUAACUGCCUGUGUUAAACUGCCUCAAAAAGCCCUGCUUAUUUUGGAUAAUUGUCCUGGUCAUCCAGAAUAAGACAAAUUAAAAAGUUUAUGUAUCUGUGUCAUGUUUUUGCUGCUAAACGUUACAUCUCUUCUACAACUCAUGGACCAGAACGUCAUUCAGGCAGUCAAAAUGCACUACUAAAAAGCUAUGAUUUACACAAUUUUGUCUGAAGACAAUGUAAUAAAACACACACUGUUGUACAUUUUAAGCAUUUUUAUUGAUGGCCUUCCAAUAAUCCGGGGUUUGCACUAAUUCGAGAAUACCAAUGUCUGAUAUCUGCCAUUUUAGUGAGAUUCUACUGUAUUUACUUGUAAUAUGAUGUGGUGAAGCGAAAUACCUACAAUAAGUUGUGGUCAUUCUUCUCCAGUAAUAAUCCGAAACGAAGUAUCCACAAUGCAUAAACACACACUGAUUUAAAAUUUCACUUCUGAUUUGUUGUUUCAGAAUACUAACAACAUGAUAAAACCACAGAAACCAAAACAAUUGUCCACAAAAUGUUGUGGGUUUAUACUUUUCACACAAAAACUGAAAAGAUAAUAUAACAAUUUCUACACCUGCAAUUGAUAUACUUUCGAUUCUUGCAAUUGAUUUACUACAUACAGGAAUCAGCUAAGCGCAGUAAUAAUUAUGCUUUAUUUCAAUGCUAAAACUAUUUAACAUACAUUUAAAACUAAGAAUUGUCAAUUUCGCUGAACUAAAUAUAAAGUACCAAGUUUUAAACUUAACAUUACAAAGAGGUCAAUAAAUAUGGUAAGAUAAAUAACGAAUACAAAUGGGAAUGCUCGUUAUAUAACCAGCAAAAACAACGCUCACUUCCAAGUGACAAUAUCCAUGGUGUAUGUGGUAACGAGUUUACACACCUUACCAGUAUUGUGUACAAUAUUCAUUAGAACAAACAUCAGAGACAUGUACUUUGUGUAUAAUGAACGCUAAUUCCAUAGUGUAUACCAAAUGUAUUAUACACUGUCACUUGCAUUUAACUCAUGGAACAUACACACUUUUGUCUUAAGUUCGGUGUGUAGCAAGGUCCACAAUUUUUAUAUUAAAACUUUUGUAAUUUCUCAAUCUCUGGAUUAUUUGAAUUUUGUUGAGUAAUAAAACGCAAAUUUCUUAUCUUGAUUGAUAAAAAGCAUUAUAUAUACUCGUAGACUCUUUCAUUUUCAUUUAUUCAAUCGAUUAUAGUGCUAUAAUAAGUGAAGAUCUCUGUUCAGCAGCCCCCCAAAUUUUGUGGUAAAAAAUUCCAUUCAAUUAUUUUGUACCCCCAAAAAGUCUGUAAGGGGUAUUUUGGGGGGUGGGGUUUGAUUUCUUGAAAUUUAAAGGAAAGGUGGGGUGUGUGGAACCUCAUUUUAAAGGUUUCUUGAAACAGAUCAUUUAAAAAAAGGUUUUUUCAAUUUAAAUUGCUUUAAAUGUACAGAACGUUAAAACAUCUUAAAAACAGCUGUAGCGAGUUUUUUUUAUAAUUACUUUAUCAAACAACUUGUUACUCCCAAAAUACUUGAGGACCUAAUCUUCCAAAAUAUAACAAAAACAGUUAGUUCCCAAAUAAUUUUUACAUAAUUACAUUUUGAAAAUUUAAUAAUGUUUAUAACUAAACAAUAUUAAAAUACAACUAACUGUAUGGUUUGUACUACAACGAAUUAAAAGUAGAAAAGAAUUUCUUUUUUUGUAUUGAAACUUUGGCUUAAUCUCAAGUGGUCUCAGUUUGGUUAUGACUUCCAUUGGGAGUGUACUAAAAAAAUUGUUCGAAUAUACAUUAUUUGAAUCAAUCUCCAAUUUUCUUAUUUGCACACCUUCAAACACUCUUAACUGAAUAGUCAAUCAACUAUAUACUUUUUUAUGAUUAAAGAAAGAAUACUGUCUUUUAUACUAAUAUUAUCUACAAUUUUAAUUCCAUACAUUUCAGAAACUAAGAUGAAUAUAUUAAUGUGCUCAAAUUUCUACUGACUAGACUACUUCCAUCCAUGCAAAUAUUCUUUAAUCAUCUUGCACAUACAAUUUUUUCACACUAAAUAAAUACUCUGAAUUUUCCAUGCUGUGUGUGUAUAGGCAUUGAAAACUGGUUCAUACAAAAUUGCAAAUAGUAGUCUUUUAAAACUGCUUUAGUGUUAUUUGUCAGAUAAGAAAUGUUUCUUAUAAUUGUACAUUAUCAACACAGAUAAAUAUGUUCAGGGAUGUAUCCUAGAAUUUAUUUUGGGGGACGAGGGUGAUAAUUCCAGGUAUUGAGCAUAUUUAUACUAUUAAGGACAAAAGAAAGUAAGAUACUGAAGAUAUAUGUACAUGUGUGUAUUAACUUGUUCUUAGAGUUUUUAAUGGUUUUAGUUGUUUUGUCUGAAAAUACUCAUAAGGUAAAAUGGAAUUUUGGAGAGGGAGAUGAUUUUCCAAUUUUCCAUGCUUGCCCCUGUCUUCACUGUUGGAGCUGCACAUUCCACUAAAGCUUGUCUGUACUUCACAAAAUUUUGUAUUGAAAAUAAAACUUCAGCAAUACUUAUUUAUCAGAAUUUGCUAUAUACACUGAACACUUGUUUAUGUGAGCAUUCAUGCAAAUUUUAGGAGGAUUUCCGUACAUUUUACUGUUUUAAACUGGUUUACAAAAGAUGUGUAUUUUACAGAUGUUAACCCUGUUUUUUAAAAUAUGUUUUUAGGUGAUCUGAUUUGAUUACCUAACUCCUACUUUAUGUUUAGUGGCUUUUGAUAUUUUUAGACUUGCCAUGGAUACCAAUUACUUGUUAUACUGUUUAAAUUGCUUGAACAACCAACACAGUUGUUGGUUUUUUAUGGAUUUUACAGUUUUCAUGAAAAACUAUGGCUUAUUCACCUAAUAUACCAGUUUACUUCAAUAAAAAGGAUUUUUGUAUAAAUAGUUUCCUGUCAAUGAUAAAUAUAUUUAAAAUUCCCAUUUUUCAUCAAAAAACAUAUUUUUAUGAUUUUUCUGUUUAUUUUAUAUAAGAAAUAAGUUUACAGUAUGUAUAAAUAUUUGUAACUGUGCCUGCAAAUUCGAUGAUAAACAAUGUGCAUUUUAGAAUUUGUUAUAAACGUUUCACAUGUUGAAAACUAUUAUAGACAGUAUAAAUUAUGUUUAUUUAAACAAUUUGACAACUAGUAAUGGGUGGUUUUUCCUUGGAAUGCUGAAAAUCCAAAUAAACAAGUUUUUAAGUGUAAUAGUUUUAAAAUACAUUUCUCAAUACUUCUUGGUGCAUACUAUGAUAGUAGACUAAUUCAUACAAUAAUAUUAACAACAGUUUAUAACUAAAGCAUUAUCUAUUGUUCACACAGUUUUAAUUUCAUUAUGAAUAAAUUUUAAGACUUUCCACUUCUUGUAGGCCGCUACAUUAGUCUGACUUGUGUAUGUUCUGUUGAUUUUUUUGUGUUAACCAUGAGGAAUUAAUAGUUAGUUGUAUGUAACCUUAGUUAUUUAUAGGCACAGGUUAGGUCUGCGUUAGUGUAUGCAUGUUUGUAAAUAUGUAACAGUAACACUCCGAAGGGCCGUGCCCAUUGUUAACCCUUCCUUGCAAGGGACAUCAACCAUUAGUAACGAGAGCGUUUAUUGUAGACAUUAUUUUUAGUGUGGCCCUUCCACCGGUCCAGUGGAUCAGUGGUGGGGUGGUGUUUACUGUUCUUGUGGUUUUUGUUGUUUGGUUUAGGUUUAAAUGUGGCCAAUGUUAGUAAAUUGUUAUGAACUGUAAUAAAGUUUAUGCGAACAA